rnacentral:rRNA from 1 species
UACGUAGGGGGCAAGCGUUGUCCGGAAUUAUUGGGCGUAAAGGGCUCGUAGGCGGUCCAUCGCGUCGGGAGUGAAAAGCUGGGGCUUAACCCCAGUCCUGCUUCCGAUACGGGUGGACUAGAGGUAGGUAGGGGAGAACGGAAUUCCUGGUGUAGCGGUGAAAUGCGCAGAUAUCAGGAGGAACACCGGUGGCGAAGGCGGUUCUCUGGGCCUUACCUGACGCUGAGGAGCGAAAGCAUGGGGAGCAAACGGG